CUUGUUCUCCCUCCGUCCAAAAAUACUUGUCAUUGAAAUGGAUGUAUCUAGAUGUAUUUUAGUUCUAGACACAUCCAUUUUGAUGACAAGUAAUUCCGGACGAAGGGAGUACUUG
rnacentral:pre_miRNA from 1 species